rnacentral:rRNA from 1 species
CUUACUCUUGGUGGCGAGUGGCGAACGGGUGAGUAAUAUAUCGGAACGUAUCCAAUAAUGGGGGAUAACUAAUCGAAAGGUUGGCUAAUACCGCAUACGCCCUACGGGGGAAAGCAGGGGAUCUUCGGACCUUGCGUUAAUGGAGCGGCUGAUAUCUGAUUAGCUAGUAGGUGAGGUAAAGGCUCACCUAGGCUUCGAUCAGUAGCUGGUCUGAGAGGACGACCAGCCACACUGGAACUGAGACACGGUCCAGACUCCUACGGGAGGCAGCAGUGGGGAAUUUUGGACAAUGGGGGCAACCCUGAUCCAGCCAUUCCGCGUGAGUGAAGAAGGCCUUCGGGUUGUAAAGCUCUUUCGCAAGGGAAGAAACGUUACGAGCGAAUAACUCGUGAUAAUGACGGUACCUUGAUAAGAAGCACCGGCUAACUACGUG